rnacentral:rRNA from 1 species
UACGAAGGGGGCGAGCGUUGUUCGGAAUUACUGGGCGUAAAGGGAGUGUAGGCGGUUAUGUAAGAUAGCGGUGAAAUGCCAGGGCUUAACCUUGGAACUGUCGUUAUAACUAUGUGACUAGAAUGAUAGAGAGGAUAUCGGAAUACCCAGUGUAGAGGUGGAAUUCGUAGAUAUUGGGUAGAACACCGGUGGCGAAGGCGGGUAUCUGGCUAUUAAUUGACGCUGAGGCUCGAAAGCAUGGGAAUCAAAC